rnacentral:rRNA from 1 species
GAUGAACGCUGGCGGCGUGCCUAAUACAUGCAAGUCGAGCGAAUGGAUUAAGAGCUUGCUCUUAUGAAGUUAGCGGCGGACGGGUGAGUAACACGUGGGUAACCUGCCCAUAAGACUGGGAUAACCCCGGGAAACCGGGGCUAAUACCGGAUAACAUUUUGAACCGCAUGGUUCGAAAUUGAAAGGCGGCUUCGGCUGUCACUUACGGAUGGACCCGCGUCGCAUUAGCUAGUUGGUGAGGUAACGGCUCACCAAGGCAACGAUGCGUAGCCGACCUGAGAGGGUGAUCGGCCACACUGGGACUGAGACACGGCCCAGACUACUACGGGAGGCAGCAGUAGGGAAUCUUCCGCAAUGGACGAAAGUCUGACGGAGCAACGCCGCGUGAGUGAUGAAGGCUUUCGGGUCGUAAAACUCUGUUGUUAGGGAAGAACAAGUGCUAGUUGAAUAAGCUGGCACCUUGACGGUACCUAACCAGAAAGCCACGGCUAACUACGUGCCAGCCGCCGCAGUAA